CAAACAGGAUUAGAUACCCUGGUAGUCCACGCCGUAAACGAUGAGUGCUAAGUGUUAGAGGGUUUCCGCCCUUUAGUGCUGAAGUUAACGCAUUAAGCACUCCGCCUGGGGAGUACGGCCGCAAGGCUGAAACUCAAAGGAAUUGACGGGGGCCCGCACAAGCGGUGGAGCAUGUGGUUUAAUUCGAAGCAACGCGAAGAACCUUACCAGGUCUUGACAUCCUCUGACAACCCUAGAGAUAGGGCUUCUCCUUCGGGAGCAGAGUGACAGGUGGUGCAUGGUUGUCGUCAGCUCGUGUCGUGAGAUGUUGGGUUAAGUCCCGCAACGAGCGCAACCCUUGAUCUUAGUUGCCAUCAUUUAGUUGGGCACUCUAAGGUGACUGCCGGUGACAAACCGGAGGAAGGUGGGGAUGACGUCAAAUCAUCAUGCCCCUUAUGACCUGGGCUACACACGUGCUACAAUGGACGGUACAAAGAGCUGCAAGACCGCGAGGUGGAGCUAAUCUCAUAAAACCGUUCUCAGUUCGGAUUGUAGGCUGCAACUCGCCUACAUGAAGCUGAAUCGCUGAUACCCGCGGAGCACAGC
rnacentral:rRNA from 1 species